rnacentral:rRNA from 1 species
CUGCCUACGGGACGCAGCAGUGAGGAAUAUUGGUCAAUGGACGCAAGUCUGAACCAGCCAAGUAGCGUGCAGGAUGACGGCCCUCCGGGUUGUAAACUGCUUUUAGUUGGGAAUAAAAGGGGGCUCGUGAGCCCCGGAUUGUAUGUACCAUCAGAAAAAGGACCGGCUAAUUCUGUGCCAGCAGCCGCGGUAAUACGGAAGGUCCGGGCGUUAUCCGGAUUUAUUGGGUUUAAUGGGAGCGUAGGCCGGCUUUUAUGUCAGCUGUGAAAGUCCGCGGCUCAACCGUGGAAUUGC